AGUUUCAGGAUUAACGUGUGGCAGAGUGGGGCACCUAUUCUACGAAAAUGGUUUAGUGUCAGGUGUGACUUCAAGCUCUGUGCGUGCUGCCAAAAUGAAAAUUAACAAUGUCAGUGCCAUGAUGUCCAGUUGAGCUGUGACCUGGAUUCUGGUCUCACAUACACAGAAGCAACUGAAAGCUGAGAACGAGGGGCCGCUGAUGGCUGGAUGUGCAGGGGCAUUGUAUUACUUGAGCCCAUCCCUAGAAAAGCUGAGGAGUCCACCACCUCCACUGGGAACUCAUCAACUCCUGGCAAGAAGAAUGUCCCUAGGCACGGGGGGCAGGGAUCAGCUGUCUGAGGUGAGAGUCCUCCCUGGUGAGCCCACACCUCUGCGUGGGGCACUGCAGGCUGUGAAGAAAGGUGAGUGAGAUGACAGUGUCGCUGCUGCUCCAGAGAGUCGGCUGUGGGGCCCAUCUGGCCUCGGCCGCCACACUUGUCAUUCCCUGCUCUCUUGGUGCCAAGGCUUGACUUGCC